rnacentral:tRNA from 1 species
GUUUUAAUAGUUUAAGUCUAAAUCAUUGAUCUUGUAAAUCAAAAAUAAAUUAUAUUUUUAAAACA